rnacentral:rRNA from 1 species
UAGGGAAUCUUCCACAAUGGACGAAAGUCUGGUGGAGCAACGCCGCGUGAGUGAAGAAGGGUUUCGGCUCGUAAAACUCUGUUGUUAAAGAAGAACAUAUCUGAGAGUAACUGUUCAGGUAUUGACGGUAUUUAACCAGAAAGCCACGGCUAACUACGUGCCAC